rnacentral:rRNA from 1 species
AGUGAACGCUGGCGGUAGGCCUAACACAUGCAAGUCGAACGGCAGCACAGUAAGAGCUUGCUCUUACGGGUGGCGAGUGGCGGACGGGUGAGGAAUACAUCGGAAUCUACUUUUUCGUGGGGGAUAACGUAGGGAAACUUACGCUAAUACCGCAUACGACCUACGGGUGAAAGCAGGGGAUCUUCGGACCUUGCGCGAUUGAAUGAGCCGAUGUCGGAUUAGCUAGUUGGCGGGGUAAAGGCCCACCAAGGCGACGAUCCGUAGCUGGUCUGAGAGGAUGAUCAGCCACACUGGAACUGAGACACGGUCCAGACUCCUACGGGAGGCAGCAGUGGGGAAUAUUGGAUAAUGGGCGCAAGCCUGAUCCAGCCAUACCGCGUGGGUGAAGAAGGCCUUCGGGUUGUAAAGCCCUUUUGUUGGGAAAGAAAAGCAGCAGGCUAAUACCCCGCUGUUCUGACGGUACCCAAAGAAUAAGCACCGGCUAACUUCGUG